GACAGAGGCCUCGAGCGUUAGGCGGAAUCACUGGGCUUAAAGCGCGUGUAGGCGGAUCGUUAAGUGCCUUGUGAAAUCCUGCGGCUCAACCGCAGAACUGCUGGGCAUACUGGCGAUCUUGGGCCGCUCAGGGGUCACUGGAACAAGCGGUGGAGCGGUGAAAUGCGUAGAUAUCGCUUGGAACGCCAAAGGUGAAGACAGGUGACUGGGGGUGUGCCGACGCUGAGACGCGAAAGCCAGGGGAGCAAACGGG
rnacentral:rRNA from 1 species